rnacentral:rRNA from 1 species
GCGCGAUAUGCUCAAGUAAAAGAUUAAGCCAUGCAUGCUAGAUUCAUCAAUGAAAUUGCGUACGGCUCAUUAGAGCAGAUAUCAUUUUACUCGGAAUUCUAUAUGGAUAACUGCGGAAAUACUGGAGCUAAUACAUGCAUUUAAACCUCGACGUAAGGAGAGGUGCAAUUAUUAGAACAGAUCAAACGUUUUCGGACGUAAUUUGUUGACUCUGAAUAAAGCAGUUUACUGUCGGUUUUACCGACUCUAUCCGGGAAAAGUGUCUGCCCUUUCAACUAGAUGGUAGUUUAUUGGACUACCAUGGUUGUUACGGGUAACGGAGAAUAAGGGUUCGACUCCGGAGAGGGAGCCUUAGAAACGGCUACCACGUCCAAGGAAGGCAGCAGGCGCGAAACUUAUCCACUGUUGUGUAUGAGAUAGUGACUAAAAAUAUAAAGACUCAUCCUUCGGGAUGAGUUAUUUCAAUGAGUUGAAUAUAAAUCGUUCUUCAAGUAACAAGGAGAGGGCAAGUCUGGUGCCAGCAGCCGCGGUAAUUCCAGCUCUCCUAGUGUAUUUCGUUAUUGCUGCGGUUAAAAAGCUCGUAGUUGGAUCUAGGUUACGUGCGUUGGUUCACUUUCAGUGUUAACCAUCGUCGUAGCUUCUUUUUACUGAUUUGUUUGGCGGGCUUGUCUCGUCAGCUGUCAGUGGGUUUACCUUGAACAAAUUAAGGUGCUCAAUACAGGCGUUUGCUUGUAUAUUCUAUCAUGGAAUAAUAAAAUAGGACUUCGGUUCUUUUUGUUGGUUCUAGAAUCGAUUUAAUGAUUGAUAGGGACAAUCCGGGGGCAUUCGUAUCAUUACGCGAGAGGUGAAAUUCGUGGACCGUAGUGAGACGCCCAAAAGCGAAAGCAUUUGCCAAGAAUGUCUUCAUUAAUCAAGAACGAAAGUCAGAGUUCGAAGGCGAUUAGAUACCGCCCUAGUUCUGACCGUAAACUAUGCCAGCUCGCGAUUCGGAAGGUUUUUGCCUUACCGAGGAGCUAUCCGGAAACGAAAGUCUUUCGGUUCCGGGGGUAGUAUGGUUGCAAAGCUGAAACUUAAAGAAAUUGACGGAAGGGCACCACAAGGCGUGGAGCUUGCGGCUUAAUUUGACUCAACACGGGAAAACUCACCCGGUCCGGACAUCGUUAGGACUGACAGAUUGAAAGCUCUUUCUCGAUUCGGUGGUUGGUGGUGCAUGGCCGUUCUUAGUUGGUGGAGUGAUUUGUCUGGUUUAUUCCGAUAACGAGCGAGACUCUAACCUGCUAAAUAGUGUGCGAAUCUUCGGGUUCGUAGAACUUCUUAGAGGGAUAAGCGGUGUUUAGCCGCACGAGAUUGAGCGAUAACAGGUCUGUGAUGCCCUUAGAUGUCCGGGGCUGCACGCGUGCUACACUGGUGGAGUCAGCGGGUCUUACCUAAACCGAAAGGUCUCGGAAAGCCGUUGAAAUUCUUCCAUGUCCGGGAUAGGGUAUUGUAAUUAUUACCCUUAAACGAGGAAUGCCUAGUAAGUGUGAGUCAUCAGCUCACGUUGAUUACGUCCCUGCCCUUUGUACACACCGCCCGUCGCUAUCCGGGACUGAACUGUUUCGAGAAGAGUGGGGAUUGGAACAUUCGGGCCUAACGGUCUUUUUGUUCUGAAAACCAUUUUUAUCGCAAUGGCUUGAACCGGGUAAAAGUCGUAACAAGGUAGCU